rnacentral:lncRNA from 1 species
AACUUAUUCCUUGGUCUAUUCCUUUCGGUGAUACUAGCCUUUCGCGUGACGAGGGUUCCCGGCAGAAACACUUUUUUGCGUACUUGGCGAUUGUGGUAUCGUGAUACGCUGGCCUUGUACGAUUCGUUCCGCAGGUCUGCCUCGUCGCGGGUUUCAUCCCUCAACUCUAGCUCUGUAGCUAGGUUUUGGUCAUUGUUUAGCUCGUCG